GAUGAACGCUGGCGGCGUGCCUAAUACAUGCAAGUCGAGCGAACAGAUGAGGAGCUUGCUCCUCUGACGUUAGCGGCGGACGGGUGAGUAACACGUGGAUAACCUACCUAUAAGACUGGGAUAACUUCGGGAAACCGGAGCUAAUACCGGAUAAUAUAUUGAACCGCAUGGUUCAAUAGUGAAAGACGGUUUUGCUGUCACUUAUAGAUGGAUCCGCGCCGCAUUAGCUAGUUGGUAAGGUAACGGCUUACCAAGGCAACGAUGCGUAGCCGACCUGAGAGGGUGAUCGGCCACACUGGAACUGAGACACGGUCCAGACUCCUACGGGAGGCAGCAGUAGGGAAUCUUCCGCAAAGGGCGAAAGCCUGACGGAGCAACGCCGCGUGAGUGAUGAAGGUCUUCGGAUCGUAAAACUCUGUUAUUAGGGAAGAACAAAUGUGUAAGUAACUAUGCAUGUCUUGACGGUACCUAAUCAGAAAGCCACGGCUAACUACGUG
rnacentral:rRNA from 1 species